UAAACGACUCUCGGCAACGGAUAUCUCGGCUCUCGCAUCGAUGAAGAACGUAGCGAAAUGCGACACUUGGUGUGAAUUGCAGAACCCCGUGAACCAUCGAGUCUUUGAACGCAAGUUGCGCCCGAAGCCAUUAGGCCGAGGGCACGCCUGCCUGGGCGUCACAC
rnacentral:rRNA from 1 species